AAGGUACAAAGUGGCAGAAGGUCAUAUUGAAGCAGGGAGCAUUUUUGCAUUUUACCUGGUUCCAAAACCAAAGAAUUAUUUCUUGGAAGCCCAUUCAGAUAAACAAGGUGCAAAACAGAUUAUUAGCCUCAUGCUUUCAAGAUUUAUUCGCCAACACCGUGGCCGACCAAACGAUGAGUGGGAAAGCAUGUGGGAUGAUCUGCAGUGCUUGCAUGAGACAGCCUUUCCAUUUCUGGACCUCGAAUAUUUGUUAACUGAAUUUUGUGGAGGACUGUUAAAGCAGAGAAGUUUUCUCUUGCAAGAAGUUACUUAAAGGGUACACGUUCAGUUGCCUUGGCAAGGGAGAAAGCAGAAAAUCUUGUUAUUGAAGCUGCAAUGGAGUUUUUUUUCUCAGCUUCAAGUUUGACUUGCUCGGAAAUCCGGAAGGCUAAAGAUUGCUUGAAUUUAUUUUCAAGCAGCAGAAACGUUAAAGCAGAGUUUGAUCUUAUUGAUGCACUUACUGUUAAACUUCCCAACUUCGGAGUGACUCUUCUUCCUAUGCAAUUCAG